rnacentral:tRNA from 1 species
AACCCAGUGGUGUAGUGAAUAAUAUACUUGACCUGCAGUCAAGAAGAUCUGAGUUCAAAUCUCAGCCUGAGAUA